CUACGGGAGGCUGCAGUGGGGAAUAUUGGACAAUGGGCGAAAGCCUGAUCCAGCCAUGCCGCGUGUGUGAAGAAGGCCUUCGGGUUGUAAAGCACUUUCAGUGGGGAAGAAAGCCUUGGGGCUAAUACCCUCGAGGAAGGACAUCACCCACAGAAGAAGCACCGGCUAACUCCGUGCCAGCAGCCGCGGUAAUACGGAGGGUGCGAGCGUUAAUCGGAAUUACUGGGCGUAAAGCGCGCGUAGGCGGUCUGAUAAGCCGGUUGUGAAAGCCCCGGGCUCAACCUGGGAACGGCAUCCGGAACUGUCAGGCUAGAGUGCAGGAGAGGAAGGUAGAAUUCCCGGUGUAGCGGUGAAAUGCGUAGAGAUCGGGAGGAAUACCAGUGGCGAAGGCGGCCUUCUGGACUGACACUGACGCUGAGGUGCGAAAGCGUGGGUAGCAAACAGGAUUAGAUACCCUUUAGUC
rnacentral:rRNA from 1 species